UCCUGACUUCCAAGAAUGAAAGAUUUUUACUAGGAAAGGCAAGGGGUGUGUGUGUGUGUGUGUGUGUGUGUGUGUGUGUGUGAGUGAAUUUUUGCCUCCUUUUACGUCACAAUGUCUCUCUUAUCUGCCACCACUAAUAUUAUGUGUGCUAACACCUCCAAGUUUAGACCAGAAAAUUAUUAAUAUCUAUUCAGAGAUAAUUCCCUUAUUGCAUAAAUUUAGUGUUUUUAAGACAAGUAACACAUUUCUUUCCACAGGAGAGGAAAGUACUUUCAUAGCUUUAUGCAUGUUGGUGUUUCACAAAUUGACAGUCUGUUUUGAUAAUAGCCAAAUUUGAUGGCUACUCUCUCAUAUAUGGCUCAGCUGGGAGACAAAUUCAUGUAUUCACUAUGGAGAUUUACAAUAAAGAAAAAUAGACAAGUUGGCCUUUGUUAGGCAAGUAAUUCUGUAUUCUAAUUUAGAGACUGAUUAAAAGUCUUCAGAGAACAAACUUUGCAAGCACAUGGCUAAAAAUAAAUGCUGGAUCGUGGCAGAGUGUGUUGGUUUAUACCUGUAAGACUCCCACUUAAGUAGGCUAAGACAUGAGGAAUGUAAGGUCAAAGCCAGCCUGUGUAACAAAGCCAGAUCCUGUCAGUAAAACAAAGAAAUCAUUACAUUAUAAUUAACAUCAGAGUUAAGUGGGGAAGAAUCAUUUAAAGUAUCCAUCUUUGUACCCUGGGAUAGGUCAUCAUGAGAAUCCAUGCAAAUAUAUUGGAAACAAUUCCCCUAAGGAGAUGAGAGCAUCCUGGGAGCUGUACUAGGCUAACCUUCUUUGUGUAUGUAGUGUAAUUGUUGAGAUUUAAAUAUAACCGUCCCCUUAUGUGUCCCUUUUAUUAGCAUGAAAAGGGAGAGUGUGCUCCAUUAGGCCUUAACUGCACAUAGCACUUUUAUGACUUAGGUCAUGGCUUUGCUGGAGCAGCAGAGGGAGCCACUCUAAGAAGAAACACAAUCACUGGGGGCUGUAGUCAUUUCUGGAAGAUGGUGUGGAUAGAAGCUGAGUCUAGACUCCGGCCUUGAAGUUUUAGCCUAGAUCCCUUUUACUUGACCUUUGCAUCUGUGCAACUUAAAAACCAAUCUGUUCUCAUUUCCUGCAAACUACAUUUUUGAGCUUAUUUGAACAGAGUGUGUACGAGAAGUAGUAUGCCAGAGGGAACAAGUCCCAGACUGUUUGCUGCUUGUUGGAGAGUUAGACUUGAAUAAACUUUAUCAUCGGGAUAGAUCUACCAGCAUAUUAAUUUCUGAACUGUAACCCUGUAUACAGAUAUGUUCCUUGUGUCAAGGUGGCCAGGAUUAUCCCAUGAGUGGUAGUGGUAAUGGAGACAGUUCCAAAAAUUUUGUACAUAGAAGAUUAAUGGUAUUUUAUACAUACAAGAUUAAUUGGUUGGAAGUAGUAAGGAAGGGACACUUGGAAGUUGAACUAGUCCAGGCACAUACUCUCAUUCAUUCAUUCAUCCCACCAUCUCUCAUGCUGGCUGUGAACUCAUGAGCCACCUACCCACCUUGGCCCCUACCCCCAUUUGUUUCUGGGAUUACAACUGUGUACCCCCAUGCCCAUGAUGGAAGUGGGCUUUUCUUGAAGUUAAAUUUGCAUUUCAAAAGUAUUACUUAUAUUCAGAUGCAACCCACCCCCACCCCCAGCCUGAAAUCUGGCAGGAAGAGAACAUCAGGGGUAGAGCCUGCCACCCUAUCGUUCUGCCACUCCCACUGCUGCUGCCUGCCGCCUAGCUGUUCUGGAGCUAUCAUGUGGUCACCUGAAACUGGACUCCAAGGAUGAUUUGGUGGGAAUGGGCCCCUUCUCCUUCUUCAUAACCCGGUGUCUCGGAAUAGUAAAAUCGAACCUUGAUCAGACUGAUGUCUUGGUUCCGUUCUUUCCCGAGUCACCUAGUUCCCUCUUCUCUUCCAGAUUCCAAGAUGCCUCCCGGGCUAGAACCCAGACAUGUGGGCCGCUGGCCGGCCUCAACAUUCAGAUACCUCCCCUACUUUGGUAAUGGGGAUUGAAUCUAGGUACCUGUACAUGUUAUGAUAGCAAGUGCUAUGCUAUGACUCUAUGGCCCCAUGCCUACUACUUAGAGUCAGUGGCUAUUUUGUCUGGCUUUGGGGAGGUACAAGCUAAUAACAGUGAAUACCAUGUGCCUGUUUUAGUUAGCACAAUGCAUCAUAAUUCCUCGGACACAUCCUAGCUAUAUGACUGUGAUAUGCCAAGUUAUUUGACUAUUCUGUACCUCAAUUUCCCCACAUGUAAAAUGAGAAAAAUAUAUACCAUAGGUCAUACUAAGGCUAAAUUAGUGUAUGUAAACCAUCUACAGUGAUAGGUAGUUC
rnacentral:lncRNA from 1 species